rnacentral:piRNA from 1 species
CAUGUCUUUAACCACAGCACUCGGG